UCCAUGCGAGUGUUCUCCGUUGAUUGUCCGAACGCAAUUCUUGUUGAAUUUCCUAGUCAAGAACUGUGUACGGACAUCAGUGGUUGAUACCGCUAGCACCU